rnacentral:lncRNA from 1 species
UAGUUGGUUCUUCUACUUGAAUGCUUGAUUCCGUAUUAGUAACUAUGUUUUACAAUCGUUGUAAAAGUGUGACUAAUAAGAAGUAGAAGAUAUAUGAGAGAAGAAAAGGUACUUCACAUUCGGAACGUGAAUAAAAUAUAGAUCUCUGCGAAAGUAGAUAGUACUUACUUCCUCAUAAGAACUACCAAAGAAAUUGGAAAAACCAAAGAUUGUCUUUACAUUCCAAUUUUAAGGAAUUUAAUUCCGUCACUAUAGUAGAGAUGGAUGAAUGUUUUGUUUGACAAAACAUUGUUCUUUAUUAAUCAAUGAUUGGAUUAUAGUAAUCUAAUUGAUUGUCUCUAUAGUAGAGAUGAUAUGGUAGUGUUAACUGUUUAGAAUAUAAUGAUGCUUAAAACCCAAAAGGUUGCAAGGUAGUGACUAAUCCCAACUAAAUUGUGAUACCUCUAAAAACAUAAGUUACAAGUUGGUGAAAGAUGGAUGCUUUGGAUCGUUAGAUCCGGAUCCAAUACCUUCCUUUUAAAAUUGUAUAGAGGCGAAAUGUUCGAAUCUUUAUUCUUUUGGAAAGAAGAAAGAAUCACAAAGUUGUUGAGGUUAAUUCACUUAGAUGUUGGUGGCACUUGUCCACAACAUAAUACUACUCAUGUUAUAUGACAUUCACCGAAGAUCACUCUCGGUUGGACUAUAGUUUAUUUUGAAUAAACACAAAUCCGAAUACUUUGCAAAAAGGUUUCAAAGAAUUCAAGAAAUGUAAGUUGAUGAGUAAGACGUCUAAAGUAUUUACCUCCUUAGAUUUGAUCCAAGGAAAAGAAACACUUUAGAUGAGUCUCCUUGAAAUAUAUCAAGGAAAGAAGCAUCAUAAGAUAAUAAAUUACUCCAUUAAGGAGAAGAACGAACUUGAAUAAGAUUUAGUUCGUUAGAUGUUAUCUAUUACCCAUAUAUAGGAUAUAUACUUCUAAAAACAAUAUGAUUGUCAAUUAGAAGAUCUUCCAAAUUUUUCAUGACUCCAUAAGAUGUAGUUGGAAAGAAAGACAAAUCUCAAGCAUGUUAAGAUUUGGGGUUGUGAGCUAAUAAGCAAUAUUUGUUUGAUAACAAUCUUGAGGGAUAUCCUUAAAUUAACUUUUGGAUAUCGCUUCUAUAAACCAAUUAACAAAUGUUGUUUUGUUGGGUAGUUCAUUGUAAUCCUAUAAUGUGAUUUGCCUAAAAGCAAAUGAACGAGAGAUAGAACUCAAAGAAUGGGUUCUUUGAGAGACAAGAAAGUA